CCUUGUCCACCAUGGAUACUUGUUGACAGGUGACCUGUAAUGGAACCAUGAACUUUCUAUAAGGCAUUUUCAUAAUUCCUUGACUUUUCUGUGUCACUUGCAAUGCAAACUAAAGGUCUACGUUAUCAUCACUGAUGGUAAUGACAUCUUUGAUGAAUCAGUAUUUCAGAGUGGGAAAGACAUCUUUGAUGAACCAAUAUGUUUAUAACAAAUUCAACCAACAGUAUAAAGCUACAAUUGGAGCUGAAUUUGUCACCAAAGAAUUACAUAUUGAUGACAAAUUGUAACUUUGCAAAUAUGGGAUACAGCGGGGCAAGAAAGGUUCUAGAGUCUUGGUUCUGCAAUUUAUCGAGGGGCAGAUUGCUGUGUUGUUGUGUUUGAUGUGAACAUACUCAGAUCGUUUGAAACACUAAACAAUUGGCGUGAAGAAUUUCUGAAGCGGGUCUCAUAAUUCUGUAUUGUUCAUCUCAUUUCUUCACAACAGGGAGAUCCCAUUCUGGAGACAAAGAAGAACACAAAAGAUCAAAGAGGUUCGGUGUCAAGCAAAAGGAGAGGGUUACAUCUUUUAAUGAUACACAUAUGGCUCUGUAUUUGUGUGGAAGGGUUGGGCGUGCGGAUAGAGAAGCUUAUGGAUACUUAUUUUACCCUGAUAAGUCCUUACUAUCUGAUCAAGCAUUGGUUGAAGAACACCGUGUCGUAUCAGUUCCUGAUCAGUCAGUGGAGGAUUCACACUCAAGGAGCAUGAAACAUCUCAGCAACUCAUUGGGAUCGAGCAGUUAAAAUUCAGAAUCAAGUGACACACAAGAGCUAGAUUUGGAGCUUAGACUGUCACUGUAAUCAGUAAUUUUUUUUGCUACUUUAAAUGCAUGCUCAUGGAACUACAUUUUAUGCUUUCCUAGAAUUGUAAGUUCAAAUAAGGUGUUGAUUUGCAAUUUAUACAUACAACUUGAGCAAGUUGAUAUGAACUAGUUUGAAUUUUUUAAAAAAAAAAUUCAAAGGAAUCUUAUGUAAUCAAAGGCAAUUUGACUUGCUGCAUGAGAUAAUUGGUGGAAUCUCACUUUUGUUGUUGCUGCAAUCUCUAACCAAAGAAUGGAGUGAUGUAUGUACUGAUAACAGUUCUAAAGGAUUUGCUUAAGCAAGUAAAGGGAUAGGAAUGGAUAUGUGGCAUUUUUAUAAUAAUUUUUUAAAAUUUUUCAUGACCUUUAACGGCGUUUUUUGGGAAAGCUUCGCUAAAGGUCUUGUUCUUUAGCGGCGUUUUUAAGGAAAGCGCCGCUAAAGGUCAUGAUCUUUAGCGGCGUUUUUGGGGAAAGCGCCGCUAAAGGCCUAAAAAAAUGCCGCUAAAAACUUGUUUUGGUGUAGUGGUUUAUGGUAUUAUACGAAAUGUAUGUUUAAAUGUUCUAUUUGUUCGGUAAUGCUUCAUAACCCUAAUUCAAUUACAGAUACGGGUUAGGGGUGUUACAUGUAAUGGUAUCAGAGUUACGAUUUAGUUAGUUUUAGGAUUGAACGUAGCAUGUAUGGAGUUUAGAAAUACAUGCAAUUAUAUAACUUGUGAUAGUGUGAUAAAUCUUGACUCAGAUUGAACUAUGCUUUCAUAUAGAUAAAUAUCAUCCAUCUGAGCUGAUACCAAUGAAGUUGGUAGUAAUGCGCAAGCCUCCGUUCAUAGAGCAACAUCUAGCGGUAGUAGGCCUGUACCUGAGGGCCGGGGAGGAGAGGCUAAAGAAGCCUUCUUCCAGAUGAUGUUUGAGCGGUUUUCAGAGUUCGUGUGAACAAACCUAAUAGCUCAAUGACCUCUACCUCCACCGAUCCUCGUAGUUCCUUAGGGUUUGAAAUUUGUACGAGGAAGCAAGCCUCUAGUUGAUAAAAUACGAAAGUAUAGGGUUGAAGAGUUCUGAGGUAUAGCUAAAGAUGAUCUAGAGAGAGUCGAGUUCUAGUUAGAAAACACAGUCAGAGUUUUUGAUGACUUAUUGUGUACUCCAAUUGAAUGCUUGAAAUGUGUUGUUUCAUUGUUCAAAGAUUCAGCUUAUCAGUGGUGGAACACCUUGGUUGCGGUAGUACUGAGAGAUCGAGUAAACUAGGAACUUUUCCAGACAGAGUUUCAAAAGAAAUAUGUGAGUAAGAGGUUCCUAGAUAACAUACGUAAAAAGUUUAUUGAAUUGAAGCAAGGCUGUAUGUUAGUAGCUGAGUACGAGAGGGAAUUUGUACGACUCAGUAAGUAUGCUCAGGAAUGUAUACCAACAGAGGUUGCUAUGUGCACUCAAUUUGAAGAUGGCCUAAAUAAAGAUAUCAAGCUGUUAGUCGAGAUUCUUGAGUUAAGAGAAUUCAUGGUUUUGGUUUAUAGAGCGCAUAAGGCCGAGGAACUUAGCAAAGCGAAGGGAAAACCUGAUUCUGAGGCUCGUGAUUUAGGAAAGUGACCUAUGGGAAAAUAAUGCUGAUCGAAAUCGAAGAAGUCAAAAGAAUAUCAUAUUCGUUCAUCAGCUUUAGUGGGUUAUUCUGGGACAGAUAGAGGAAGACAACAUUCGAGCUCGUAACCUCAGGCUACAUCCGUAGCGAGUGUGUGCAGUGUUAGAAACAACAAGCCUGAAUGUCAGCAAUGUAAUAGACGACACUUCGGUGAAUACAGAUUGAAAGACAGGUCAUGUUUUAAAUGCGGUUCUUAUAAGCAUUAUCUUAAAAAUUACCCUGAAAGGUUUGAUAAAGAAAAAGCUCAAACUACUCGACCAAGUAAUACAACUGCAAGAGGGAGACCACCUCGGAACGCUGGAAAUGUAGGAAACAAUCAUAGUGGGAUAAAAGAUUCCACUGUGAGAUCUAAGGCACAGGCACCGGCUAGAGCUUACGAGAUUCAAGCUCAAGAGGAAGCUUCAGCACCUGAUAUGAUCACCGAUUUGCACAAAUGGCAAAAACUGGCUCGGCAGACACUGCUAGAAGUAGAAAACCAAGAAGCAAUUUGGAGUAUUGAGGCGAACUAAAUUUUAGCGUAAGACGAUCCAAAAUUAUAUGUAUUAAUUCAUAAUAGAAUUAAUUUUAAUUUAUAUCCAAUUUAAUUUGGGUUAAUAAAUUAUUAUUAAUUAAUUAUGAAAAAGUGGUCCAAUUGAACUAAACUGACCAAGAAAUGGGCAACCCAAAAACCGUCCCAAGAGCUGACCCAAAUAAGCUUAUUAGCUGAUUAUUUAAGCUUGCCAAGAGGCCCUUGAAGACUUGUUCAAGUUGCAUUCAAACCCUUCCACAACUGAUGGCUUUAUAGAUUUACCCCAAGCCUAAAUUAGCAAAGUUGAAACAAUCAACCUUGCCACAUGUGUGGCAGGCCAAGGGAGGGCUCUUUGGCUGAUAAUUUUAGCUAUUUUUAGCAGCCCUCCUCAGCUAUAAAAACCCCCUUAGGCUGGUCAUUUUAGAAACACACCUCAAGCAUUCACAUCUUUCCUCUCUUCUCUCCACUUUCUCUCUUCUUUUCCAUUCCAAAAUUCCCUUGCUCUCUUGCCUAUUUCUUCUUUUGGGAAAGGGCAUUUAUCAGCUAUUUGGAGCAGCAAUUAAGUGUUCAUAGCAGCCUUGUUCGAUGAGGACAACAGAGAAGGAAGAACAGAACAACUAGUCAAGCCACAGAAAAACACCGGAUAUGAUUCUUGCUCCCUA